rnacentral:rRNA from 1 species
CAGUCGCCACGGGAAUACGAAGGGUGCAAGCGUUACUCGGAAUUACUGGGCGUAAAGCGUGCGUAGGUGGUGGUUUAAGUCCGUUGUGAAAGCCCUGGCUCAACCUGGGAAUUGCAGUGGAUACUGGGUCACUAGAGUGUGGUAGAGGAUAGUGGAAUUUCCGGUGUAGCAGUGAAAUGCGUAGAGAUCGGAAGGAACAUCUGUGGCGAAGGCGACUAUCUGGGCCAACACUGACACUGAGGCACGAAAGCGUGGGGAGCAAACAGGAUUAGAUACCCCCGUAGUCCCUGUCUCUUAUACA